rnacentral:rRNA from 1 species
GGGUUGUGAGGUUAAGCGACUAAGCGUACACGGUGGAUGCCCUGGCAGUCAGAGGCGAUGAAGGACGUGCUAAUCUGCGAUAAGCGUCGGUAAGGUGAUAUGAACCGUUAUAACCGGCGAUUUCCGAAUGGGGAAACCCAGUGUGAUUCGUCACACUAUCAUUAACUGAAUCCAUAGGUUAAUGAGGCGAACCGGGGGAACUGAAACAUCUAAGUACCCCGAGGAAAAGAAAUCAACCGAGAUUCCCCCAGUAGCGGCGAGCGAACGGGGAGCAGCCCAGAGCCUGAAUCAGUGUGUGUGUUAGUGGAAGCGUCUGGAAAGGCGCGCGAUACAGGGUGACAGCCCCGUACACAAAAAUGCACAUACUGUGAGCUCGAUGAGUAGGGCGGGACACGUGGUAUCCUGUCUGAAUAUGGGGGGACCAUCCUCCAAGGCUAAAUACUCCUGACUGACCGAUAGUGAACCAGUACCGUGAGGGAAAGGCGAAAAGAACCCCGGCGAGGGGAGUGAAAAAGAACCUGAAACCGUGUACGUACAAGCAGUGGGAGCACGCUUCGGCGUGUGACUGCGUACCUUUUGUAUAAUGGGUCAGCGACUUAUAUUCUGUAGCAAGGUUAACCGAAUAGGGGAGCCGAAGGGAAACCGAGUCUUAACUGGGCGUUAAGUUGCAGGGUAUAGACCCGAAACCCGGUGAUCUAGCCAUGGGCAGGUUGAAGGUUGGGUAACACUAACUGGAGGACCGAACCGACUAAUGUUGAAAAAUUAGCGGAUGACUUGUGGCUGGGGGUGAAAGGCCAAUCAAACCGGGAGAUAGCUGGUUCUCCCCGAAAGCUAUUUAGGUAGCGCCUCGUGAAUUCAUCUCCGGGGGUAGAGCACUGUUUCGGCAAGGGGGUCAUCCCGACUUACCAACCCGAUGCAAACUGCGAAUACCGGAGAAUGUUAUCACGGGAGACACACGGCGGGUGCUAACGUCCGUCGUGAAGAGGGAAACAACCCAGACCGCCAGCUAAGGUCCCAAAGUCAUGGUUAAGUGGGAAACGAUGUGGGAAGGCCCAGACAGCCAGGAUGUUGGCUUAGAAGCAGCCAUCAUUUAAAGAAAGCGUAAUAGCUCACUGGUCGAGUCGGCCUGCGCGGAAGAUGUAACGGGGCUAAACCAUGCACCGAAGCUGCGGCAGCGACACUAUGUGUUGUUGGGUAGGGGAGCGUUCUGUAAGCCUGCGAAGGUGUGCUGUGAGGCAUGCUGGAGGUAUCAGAAGUGCGAAUGCUGACAUAAGUAACGAUAAAGCGGGUGAAAAGCCCGCUCGCCGGAAGACCAAGGGUUCCUGUCCAACGUUAAUCGGGGCAGGGUGAGUCGACCCCUAAGGCGAGGCCGAAAGGCGUAGUCGAUGGGAAACAGGUUAAUAUUCCUGUACUUGGUGUUACUGCGAAGGGGGGACGGAGAAGGCUAUGUUGGCCGGGCGACGGUUGUCCCGGUUUAAGCGUGUAGGCUGAUUUUCCAGGCAAAUCCGGAAAAUCAAGGCUGAGGCGUGAUGACGAGGCACUACGGUGCUGAAGCAACAAAUGCCCUGCUUCCAGGAAAAGCCUCUAAGCAUCAGGUAACAUCAAAUCGUACCCCAAACCGACACAGGUGGUCAGGUAGAGAAUACCAAGGCGCUUGAGAGAACUCGGGUGAAGGAACUAGGCAAAAUGGUGCCGUAACUUCGGGAGAAGGCACGCUGAUAUGUAGGUGAAGUCCCUCGCGGAUGGAGCUGAAAUCAGUCGAAGAUACCAGCUGGCUGCAACUGUUUAUUAAAAACACAGCACUGUGCAAACACGAAAGUGGACGUAUACGGUGUGACGCCUGCCCGGUGCCGGAAGGUUAAUUGAUGGGGUCAGCGCAAGCGAAGCUCUUGAUCGAAGCCCCGGUAAACGGCGGCCGUAACUAUAACGGUCCUAAGGUAGCGAAAUUCCUUGUCGGGUAAGUUCCGACCUGCACGAAUGGCGUAAUGAUGGCCAGGCUGUCUCCACCCGAGACUCAGUGAAAUUGAACUCGCUGUGAAGAUGCAGUGUACCCGCGGCAAGACGGAAAGACCCCGUGAACCUUUACUAUAGCUUGACACUGAACAUUGAGCCUUGAUGUGUAGGAUAGGUGGGAGGCUUUGAAGUGUGGACGCCAGUCUGCAUGGAGCCGGCCUUGAAAUACCACCCUUUAAUGUUUGAUGUUCUAACGUAGACCCGUGAUCCGGGUUGCGGACAGUGUCUGGUGGGUAGUUUGACUGGGGCGGUCUCCUCCUAAAGAGUAACGGAGGAGCACGAAGGUUGGCUAAUCCUGGUCGGACAUCAGGAGGUUAGUGCAAUGGCAUAAGCCAGCUUGACUGCGAGCGUGACGGCGCGAGCAGGUGCGAAAGCAGGUCAUAGUGAUCCGGUGGUUCUGAAUGGAAGGGCCAUCGCUCAACGGAUAAAAGGUACUCCGGGGAUAACAGGCUGAUACCGCCCAAGAGUUCAUAUCGACGGCGGUGUUUGGCACCUCGAUGUCGGCUCAUCACAUCCUGGGGCUGAAGUAGGUCCCAAGGGUAUGGCUGUUCGCCAUUUAAAGUGGUACGCGAGCUGGGUUUAGAACGUCGUGAGACAGUUCGGUCCCUAUCUGCCGUGGGCGCUGGAGAACUGAGGGGGGCUGCUCCUAGUACGAGAGGACCGGAGUGGACGCAUCACUGGUGUUCGGGUUGUCAUGCCAAUGGCACUGCCCGGUAGCUAAAUGCGGAAGAGAUAAGUGCUGAAAGCAUCUAAGCACGAAACUUGCCCCGAGAUGAGUUCUCCCUGACCCUUUAAGGGUCCUGAAGGAACGUUGAAGACGACGACGUUGAUAGGCCGGGUGUGUAAGCGCAGCGAUGCGUUGAGCUAACCGGUACUAAUGAACCGUGAGGCUUAACCUUACAACGCCGAAGGUGUUU